ensembl:lncRNA CHROMR cholesterol induced regulator of metabolism RNA
ACCUAUGGGCACAAAAAGCAGGAACGAGUAGCGGUGGCUGAAGAACGAGCAGGAGCUUGAAUUUCAGUUUUCUUAUGAGGAAUUUUCCAGAAAAGAUAUCUUCACUGUGAAAUAACUAAAUAAAUGCCCACUCAGUACAUUUUGUUCUCAAAGAAUUCCAGAUAUGAUUUUUUUCCAGACAAAAAUACCUGCUACAUGCUUCCUUCUGUAUGAAUACAUGAGACCUACCUUCAUUCAUGUUUCCUCUAUGAAGCUUUCCCUGCACUCCAAACACAGAGCUGAGACUUCCACCUAAUGUAGAAAGCUAGCACGAGCCGGCGCUGACAGAUGGAAGACUUGAGAUGUUACAAGAUUAUAUAUGGAAACACAAAAGGAGUGGAGUUGCUGGGUCAUAUGGCAAUUCAUUUGAGGAACUGAGAAGCUUAUUCCAUGGAGGCUGAACUGUUUUAUAUUCCCACCAGCAACGUGUAAGGUUCCAGUUUAUCUACAUCAUCACCAACACUUGCUAUUUUCCAUUUCAUUAAUGAUAGCCAUCCUAGUGGAUUUGAAGUGGUACCUUAUUAUCGUGGUUUUGAUUGCAUUCUCUAUUGACUAAUGAUAUCGAGCAUCUUUUCAUGUAUUUUUUGGUCAUUUGGUCAUUUUUCUUUUUUAAUUUUAAAAUUUUGAGACAGGCUCUCACUAUGUUGCCCAGGUGGUCUCAAACUCCUGGGUUCCAGCGAUGCUCAUGCCUCAGUCUCCCAAAGGGGUGGGAUUACAGGUGUGAGCCACUUUGCCCAGCCCAUUUGUAUAUCUCCUUUGGAGAAUAUCUAGGUUCUUUUGAAGGUAGCUGCAUAUAAACUAGCCAAAUUAACAGACUGUGGUUUUUAGAUGGCUUUCCAUAUCUACAAGAACUAUUUAGUUCUCAAAACUGGGAAGAAAUGUUUCAGAGGCAUCAUUAAUUCAUAAUCUAAAAAUUUAUCUUGGGUUUCCUUUUUUCCCCCAGAUUCUGUAUCCUCCAUAGUCCUAUUCAUGACAUGGGUCGUUCAUCUCUGUAUUCUAAACCCUCAAUGAACUGUAGACAGUAAUAAAUAUUUAUUGGAUGAA